GUCCAUCAUCUGAAGGCGGGACCAAUGGGAAGGUUUACAAAGUGUCAAUCACCUGAAGGCGGGACCAAGGGAAGGUUGACAAAGUGUCAAUCACCCGAGGGCAGGACCAAUGGGAAGGUUUACAAAGUGUCCGUCAUCCAAAGGCGGGACCAACGGGAAGGUUUACAAAGUGUCAAUCACUUGAAGGCGGGACCAAGGGAAGGUUGACAAAGUGUCAAUCACCCGAGGGCGGGGCUAAUGGGAAGGUUUACAAAGUGUCAAUCACCAGAAGGCGGGACUAAUGGGAAGGUUUACAAAGUGUCCAUCAUCCGAAG
rnacentral:lncRNA from 1 species